GUGGGGAAUAUUGCACAAUGGGCGAAAGCCUGAUGCAGCGACGCCGCGUGAGCGAUGAAGUAUUUCGGUACGUAAAGCUCUAUCAGCAGGGAAGAUAAUGACGGGACCUGACUAAGAAGCACCGGCUAAAUACGUGCCAGCAGCCGCGGUAAUACGUAUGGUGCAAGCGUUAUCCGGAUUUACUGGGUGUAAAGGGAGCGUAGGCGGCGUGGUAAGUCAGAAGUGAAAGCCCGGGGCUCAACCCCGGGACUGCUUUUGAAACUAUCAUGCUAGAGUGUCGGAGAGGUAAGUGGAAUUCCUAGUGUAGCGGUGAAAUGCGUAGAUAUUAGGAGGAACACCAGUGGCGAAGGCGGCUUACUGGACGAUAACUGACGCUGAGGCUCGAAAGCGUGGGGAGCAAACAGGAUUAGAAACCCGGGUAGUCC
rnacentral:rRNA from 1 species